CACGGGGGGAGCAAGCGUUGUCCGGAAUUAUUGGGCGUAAAGAGCUCGUAGGCGGUUUGUCGCGUCUGCUGUGAAAUCCCGAGGCUCAACCUCGGGCCUGCAGUGGGUACGGGCAGACUGGAGUGCGGUAGGGGAGAAUGGAAUUCCUGGUGUAGCGGUGGAAUGCGCAGAUAUCAGGAGGAACACCGAUGGCGAAGGCAGUUCUCUGGGCCGUAACUGACGCUGAGGAGCGAAAGCGUGGGGAGCGAACAGG
rnacentral:rRNA from 1 species